AGUGGCUCUGGUCCAUUUCCCUGCCAUUCCCUUGGCUUCAAUUUACUCCCAGGGCUGGCAGUGAGAUGGGUCAAGGCUCACA
rfam:Pan troglodytes isolate Yerkes chimp pedigree #C0471 (Clint) chromosome 3, whole genome shotgun sequence.